rfam:Macaca mulatta chromosome 6, whole genome shotgun sequence.
GGUAGUGUAGUCUACUGGUUAAAUGCUUGGGCUCUGACAUUAACGUCCUGGGUUCAAAUCCCAGCUUUGUCA